rnacentral:rRNA from 1 species
AACAAACGCUGGCGGCGAGCCCAAUACAUGCAAGUCGAACGGGGAAAGCUUUCGGGUGAGUACUAGUGGCGCACGGGUGAGUAACGCGUGGAUAAUCUGCCUUAGAGUGGGGGAUAACUAGUCGAAAGAUUAGCUAAUACCGCAUAAGACCACAAGAACUGCGGUUCAAGGGGUCAAAGGUUUUUCGCUCUAAGAUGAGUCCGCGUAAGAUUAGCUAGUUGGUAGGGUAACGGCCUACCAAGGCGACGAUCUUUAACUGGUCUGAGAGGAUGAUCAGUCACACUGGAACUGAGACACGGUCCAGACUCCUACGGGAGGCAGCAGUAGGGAAUAUUGCACAAUGGAGGAAACUCUGAUGCAGCGACGCCGCGUGAGUGAUGAAGGCCUUCGGGUCGUAAAGCUCUGUCGCAGGGGAAUAACACAAUGAAGGUACCCUGUAAGAAAGGAUCGGCUAACUUCGUGCCAGCAGCCGCCGUAAGAC